rnacentral:rRNA from 1 species
GAUGAACGCUGGCGGCGUGCUUAACACAUGCAAGUCGAACGAGAAGUGAAGACGGAAACCUUCGGGCGGAAGGCUUUAUUUCGAGUGGCGGACGGGUGAGUAACGCGUGGGUAACCUGCCUCAUACAGGGGGAUAACAGUUGGAAACGACUGUUAAUACCGCAUAAGACCACAGCACCGCAUGGUGCGGGGGUAAAAACUCCGGUGGUAUGAGAUGGACCCGCGUUCGAUUAGCCAGUUGGCGGGGUAACGGCCCACCAAAGCGACGAUCGAUAGCCGAUCUGAGAGGAUGACCGGCCACAUUGGGACUGAGACACGGCCCAAACUCCUACGGGAGGCAGCAGUGGGGAAUAUUGCACAAUGGGGGAAACCCUGAUGCAGCGACGCCGCGUGAGUGAAGAAGUAUUUCGGGAUGUAAAGCUCUAUCAGCAGGGAAGAAAAUGACGGUACCUGAGUAAGAAGCCCCGGCUAACUACGUG